UACGUAGGGGGCAAGCGUUGUCCGGAAUCAUUGGGCGUAAAGCGCGUGUAGGCGGUCCGGUAAGUCCGCUGUGAAAGUCGGGGGCUUAACCCUCGGAUGCCGGUGGAUACUGCCGGGCUUGAGUACGGAAGAGGCGAGUGGAAUUCCUGGUGUAGCGGUGAAAUGCGCAGAUAUCAGGAGGAACACCAAUUGCGAAGGCAGCUCGCUGGGACGUUACUGACGCUGAGACGCGAAAGCGUGGGGAGCAAACAGG
rnacentral:rRNA from 1 species